rnacentral:rRNA from 1 species
GAUGAAUGCUGGCGGCGUGCCUAAUACAUGCAAGUCGAGCGAACGGACGAGAAGCUUGCUUCUCUGAUGUUAGCGGCGGACGGGUGAGUAACACGUGGAUAACCUACCUAUAAGACUGGGAUAACUUCGGGAAACCGGAGCUAAUACCGGAUAAUAUUUUGAACCGCAUGGUUCAAAAGUGAAAGACGGUCUUGCUGUCACUUAUAGAUGGAUCCGCGCUACAUUAGCUAGUUGGUAAGGUAACGGCUUACCAAGGCAACGAUGCAUAGCCGACCUGAGAGGGUGAUCGGCCACACUGGAACUGAGACACGGUCCAGACUCCUACGGGAGGCAGCAGUAGGGAAUCUUCCGCAAAGGGCGAAAGCCUGACGGAGCAACGCCGCGUGAGUGAUGAAGGUCUUCGGAUCGUAAAACUCUGUUAUUAGGGAAGAACAUAUGUGUAAGUAACUGUGCACAUCUUGACGGUACCUAAUCAGAAAGCCACGGCUAACUACGUG